rnacentral:rRNA from 1 species
AAUUUUGGACAAUGGGGGAAACCCUGAUCCAGCCAUCCCGCGUGUAUGAUGAAGGCCNNNGGGUUNUAAAGUACCUUUGGCAGNGAANAAAAGGUAUCCCCUAAUACGGGAUACUGCUGACGGUAUCUGCAGAAUAAGCACCGGCUAACUACGUGCCAGCAGCCGCGGUAAUACGUAGGGUGCAAGCGUUAAUCGGAAUUACUGGGCGUAAAGCGUGUGUAGGCGGUUCGGAAAGAAAGAUGUGAAAUCCCAGGGCUCAACCUUGGAACUGCAUUUUUAACUACCGAACUAGAGUAUGUCAGAAGGGGGUAGAAUUCCGCGUGUAGCAGUGAAAUGCGUAGAUAUGCGGAGGAAUACCGAUGGCGAAGGCAGCCCCCUGGGAUAAUACUGACGCUCAUGCACGAAAGCGUGGGUAGCAAACAGG